AAUGAACGCUGGCGGCGUGCCUAACACAUGCAAGUCGAACGCGAAAGCCCUGCUUGCAGGGUGAGUAGAGUGGCGAACGGGUGAGUAACGCGUGGGUAACCUACCCUCCAGUUGGGGAUAAUCCCGCGAAAGUGGGUCUAAUACCGGAUGACAUCGCCUCUCCUCGGAGGGGUGAUCAAAGAUGGCCUCUGGUACAAGCUAUCGCUGGGGGAGGGGCUCGCGUCCUAUUAGCUUGUUGGUGGGGUAACGGCCCACCAAGGCGACGAUGGGUAGCCGGCCUGAGAGGGUGUCCGGCCACACUGGAACUGAGACACGGUCCAGACUCCUACGGGAGGCAGCAGUGGGGAAUUUUUCGCAAUGGGCGAAAGCCUGACGAAGCGACGCCGCGUGGACGAUGAAGGCCUUCGGGUCGUAAAGUCCUGUCGGGUGGGAAGAAAAGUAUGAGUUCGAAUAAAGCUCAUGCUUGACGGUACCACCCAAGGAAGCCCCGGCCAACUCCGUGCCAGCAGCCGCGGUAAUACGGGGGGGGCAAGCGUUAUUCGGAAUCACUGGGCGUAAAGGGCGUCUAGGCGGUCGGGUAAGUCGUGGGUGAAAGCCCCCGGCUCAACCGGGGAAGUGCCUGCGAAACUAUCCGACUUGAGGUCGGGAGAGGAAAGUGGAAUUCCCAGUGUAGCGGUGAAAUGCGCAGAUAUUGGGAGGAACACCAGUGGCGAAGGCGGCUUUCUGGACCGACCCUGACGCUGAAGCGCGAAAGCUAGGGGAGCGAACGGGAUUAGAUACCCCGGUAGUCCUAGCCGUAAACGAUGGGCACUUGGUGUAGCAGGAUUUAAAACCUGCUGUGCCGAAGCUAACGCAUUAAGUGCCCCGCCUGGGGAGUACGGCCGCAAGGCUG
rnacentral:rRNA from 1 species